CUCAGCCAUACACGUGUCGCUUAAACCUGCUGAUCGUUUGAAAUUAAAAAAUACUACAUUUUAUAGCUCUCUAUUCUCUCUACAAAAUUUUACAGACACAGCAAAUCAACCAAAUUUUGCAAAAGAAUCGAGGCUGUGAAUUAUAAUGGCAAACAAGUACUAUACUGUUGUUGGUGGCGUCGCUAUUCCAAACGUGUUCAAGGUCAUCACGGCUACGACUGGAUUGACCUGUUGUGCAUUCUAUGGUAGUUCGAAAAUUUUGACUUCUCAGUACGGUGUGAAACUUCCGGAUAGGACUAUGAGGUUUAUGAAUGGAACUGCGAUGCUGAUGGCUGGAUCCCUGGCGUUUGACUCGUAUGACUUUAAUAAGAACAUUGCGAGGAUGAGAGACAUGGAUAUGGAGGAGUUUAAUAAGAAGCUUGCGAAGUUGAGAAAGAUGAGAACUGAGAAGAUUCCAAAGCCAUUAGUAUUGUUUUUGACUGCAUACCUUAUGUUCGGGCUUGGUGGAGUCUUUUCCAUUGCCGAACAAUAUGAAACCAUCAAAGAAAAUGAAAAGUUGAAAAAGUCUUGAGUCUCGGAUUGAGGUACUUUUUAUUUUCUUGUUUUUCCAAAUUUUAUUUUCCUUUUCAGUUGCUAGGGUAUGAAUAAUUGUUCUGCAAUCGGUUUCCAAGUAUGUUUUCUUUGAAUUCUCGUUUGAUUCGAUCAUCUUUGCAAGUCAAUUGACAUCAAUAUGGAGAUGGUACUUACACUAUGUUACUUUCAAUCUUUCUAGCUAUUAACUAUCACAAAAUAUGAGAUAUUGAAUAUCUAGACCAUUCACUACGUGACCAAGCCUUGCAACGACCCUAGGCUAGCUAUCCGGACCCUAUUACGCGAUAAGUUAUGAGUGGAGUAGGCAUGAGUUUAGCUAUCGAUUAGUGAAAGUAUUUGGUGUUCAUUAUCAAAAUUAGGCAUUUAGUUCAACAGUUAUGAAUCCAUCUAAAUUUGAAAUGGAAAUAUAGAAUAUCUCAGCCAUUCACUUUCACAAUAAGAAAAAAGAAACCUUUUUGGUUAGCUCACUUGAACAGAUCAAUGUAGCCAGAUGUCAGUAGAUUGAUUGUUGUAGUGCUAUUUUAAAGCUAAAUUGUUGUUUAGAUUCAGAUAAAUUUUCUGAUUAUGAAAUUUGGCUAUUCAAUCUGAUUAAUUUUUGCUGAUUGUAAUUUUGUCUAGUAACCAAGAUCUGUUCAAGCAGGUCAAAAAGUUCCUUGUAUUUAAAUAUUGGUUGUCAAAUGCUACUGAAUUUUGGGGGUUGCUGGAAAAUAUGGGGUUCUUUUUUGGUUCUAUUUAUACUUGCUUAAACCAUGCAGAGAUUAAAACAGAUUUUCACCAAUCUUUACUGUCUUAAUAAACAUCUCUCUCUAAUUCUCUUUGCUGAAACAACAAAUCAACCAAAUUUUGCAACAGAAAACUACAAACUGUCGCCAUGUUCGUUGUUUAUUUGAUUUGAUUCCGAUUUAAUUCAAAGUUUUCUGCACAAAGAAGAAAACUUCAAUAUUUAGUUAGACAUUUUAACAAACAAAUUGACAACAAUACCGUAUCUUGAUUUUUUUUUACCAAAAAUCUGGUAAAAAUCCGUUUAAAUAGCGUCAUUUUUAACGAGAAGGGUUUGACCAAGUCAGACCCAUCUUAGCCGCACACGUGUUGCAUGUAUAAUGCAGAUUGAUUAUAAACCAGCUCUCCACCAAAUUUGGCAGAAACAACAAAUCACCAAAAUUUGCAACAGGAAACUAGUUUCACGAGGCUGUGGUAAUCAUACUGAAAUUAAAGGCUGUUGGUGUUGGUUUCGGGGAACAUAGCGUUAUCAUUCCAACCCAGCUCAUGGGAUGUAUGGCUUUGACGCAGGUUUAUCGUAUGGUUUCUCUCGUUAUAUGAAAUCAAACUACAAUAAGCCACUUCCAAAGGCAAUGAUGAUGUUUUUAACUGCAAAUGUGAUUUUUGGUGCUGGUCAAACGGCCUAUCAUCUCUACACCUUCAAUAGAGACUUUGCGAAGAUGGAAGCCGAAUAUUAAAAAAAUGAAAGUCUCGGAUCGCGAGAGUGAUAUCAAUCUAUUGUUUUUCCGAAUUUUAUUUUCAUUUCCGUGAUUUCGGUUUCAGAUGCUAGGGUGUGAUAGUUUGAAUUGUCCCACUGAAUUUCGGAAUUCUCGUGUGGUUCGAUCAUCUUUGCAAGUCAAUUGACAUCAAAAUAUGUGUUUAAUCUUGGUUGUAUUUUGUUAACCAAGGUUUUUGUUAUGAAUAAAAUAGCUCCAAAUUUAAAUUGGAA